rnacentral:rRNA from 1 species
CUACUCCUACGGGAGGCAGCAGUGGGGAAUAUUGCACAAUGGGCGCAAGCCUGAUGCAGCGACGCCGCGUGAGGGAUGACGGCCUUCGGGUUGUAAACCUCUUUCAGUAGGGAAGAAGCGAAAGUGACGGUACCUGCAGAAGAAGCGCCGGCUAACUACGUGCCAGCAGCCGCGGUAAUACGUAGGGCGCAAGCGUUAUCCGGAAUUAUUGGGCGUAAAGAGCUCGUAGGCGGUUUGUCGCGUCUGCCGUGAAAGUCCGGGGCUCAACUCCGGAUCUGCGGUGGGUACGGGCAGACUAGAGUGAUGUAGGGGAGACUGGAAUUCCUGGUGUAGCGGUGAAAUGCGCAGAUAUCAGGAGGAACACCGAUGGCGAAGGCAGGUCUCUGGGCAUUAACUGACGCUGAGGAGCGAAAGCAUGGGGAGCGAACAGGAUUAGAUACCCUGGUAGUCCAUGCCGUAAACGUUGGGCACUAGGUGUGGGGGACAUUCCACGUUUUCCGCGCCGUAGCUAACGCAUUAAGUGCCCCGCCUGGGGAGUACGGCCGCAAGGCUAAAACUCAAAGGAAUUGACGGGGGCCCGCACAAGCGGCGGAGCAUGCGGAUUAAUUCGAUGCAACGCGAAGAACCUUACCAAGGCUUGACAUGAACCAGACCGCCGCAGAAAACUGUGUUUC